GCGGACGUGGCGGAACUGGUAGACGCGCAGGUCUCAGAAGCCUGUGAUGGUGACAUCGUGAUGGUUCGAUUCCAUUCGUCCGCACCA
rnacentral:tRNA from 1 species